AGCAGCUUGCUGCUUUGCUGACGAGUGGCGGACGGGUGAGUAAUGUCUGGGAAACUGCCUGAUGGAGGGGGAUAACUACUGGAAACGGUAGCUAAUACCGCAUAACGUCGCAAGACCAAAGAGGGGGACCUUCGGGCCUCUUGCCAUCGGAUGUGCCCAGAUGGGAUUAGCUAGUAGGUGGGGUAAAGGCUCACCUAGGCGACGAUCCCUAGCUGGUCUGAGAGGAUGACCAGCCACACUGGAACUGAG
rnacentral:rRNA from 1 species